rnacentral:rRNA from 1 species
GUUUGAUCCUGGCUCAGAACGAACGCUGGCAGCGUGGAUUAGGCAUGCAAGUCGAACGGGAUUGACCUGAUAGCAAUAUUGGGUCAUGAGAGUGGCGAAAGGGCGAGUAAUGCAUGGGCAAUCUAUCCUUGAGUUCGGGAUAACUCAGCGAAAGUUGAGCUAAUACCGGAUGUGGUUACGGCGGGGCAUCCUGCUGUUACUAAAGAUGGGGCUCCUUCGGGACCUGUCGCUCUUGGCGGAGCCCGUGUGCCAUCAGCUUGUUGGUGAGGUAACGGCUCACCAAGGCUUACGGCUAGCUGGUCUGAGAGGACGAUCAGCCGCACUGGGACUGAGACACUGCCCACACUCCUACGGGAGGCUGCAGUCGAGGAUCAUUCGCAAUGCGCGAAAGCGUGACGAUGCGACGCUGCGUGGAGGACGACGGCCUUCGGGUUGUAAACUCCUGUCAUGGGGGAAAAAUGUAUUGGAUGUUAACAGCAUCUGGUAUUUGAUGGUACCCCAAGAGGAAGCCACGGCUAACUCUGCGCCAGCAGCCGCGGUAAUACAGAGGUGGCGAGCGUUGUUCGGAUUUACUGGGCGUAAAGGGCGCGUAGGCGGCAUUGUGUGUCGUAUGUGAAAUCCCCGGGCUCAACCCGGGAAGUGCAUGCGAAACUGCAGUGCUAGAGCAGAGGAGGGGAGAGCGGAAUUCAUGGUGUAGCGGUGAAAUGCGUUGAUAUCAUGAGGAACACCCGAGGCGAAGGCGGCUCUCUGGAAUCUUGCUGACGCUCAGGCGCGAAAGCCGGGGGAGCAAACAGGGUUAGAUACCCUGGUAGUCCCGGCCCUAAACGGCGCACAAAGGGCGUGGGGGGCUUCACCCCCUUCCGUGCCGGAGCUAACGUGUUAAGGUGUGCCGCCUGGGGAGUACCGCCCGCAAGGCUUAAACUCAAAGAAAAUUGACCGGGGGCCCGCACAAGGCGGAGGAGCCAUGUGGCUUAAAUUCGAUGCAACGCGAAGAACCUACCCCGGGUUUGACAUGUAACUGCACAUCCUGUGAAAGCAGGAUUCCUUCGAGGGUGUUACACAGGUGCUGCAUGGCUGUCGUCAGUUCGUGCCGUGAGGUGUUUGGUUAAGUCCAGCAACGAACGCAACCCCUGUGUCCAAUUGCCAGCGAGUAAUGUCGGGAACUUUGGACAGACUGCCUGUUUACGCAGGAGGAAGGUGGGGACGACGUCAAGUCAGUAUGGCCCUUACAUCCGGGGCUGCACACGUGCUACAAUGGUCGGUACAAUGGGACGCUAAGCCGUAAGGUGGCGCAAAUCCCCAGAGCCGGCCCCAGUUCAGAUUGCGGUCUGCAAUUCGACCGCAUGAAGUCGGAUUCGCUAGUAACGGCGUAUCAGCUACGACGCCGUGAAUACGUUCCCGGGCCUUGUACACACCGCCCGUCA